GAUGAAGUGGUGUAGAUGCCAUCAACCCUUUCUUCACAUCAACUUGUAAUUCCCUAAUGGGGAUUGCUGCCAAAAAACUCUUAAUGUACUGUUUGCAAGCCUCUUUACCUUUGCAAACAAGGCUCGUUUCGUCCUCAUUUUCAGGUACUUUAUCCCUGAAGGAAACGACUGAUUCUUCCAUCUUUUCUUUGGUGUUAUUAGAGACAAUCUUCCCUUCAUUAGAAGCAGCCUGCUUCUUAUCAGUUUGCUCCUUUUUAGUGCUAGCUGGUUUCUCAUCUGAUUGUUGACUCGUGUUAGGUAGCUGCAAGAUUGUAGUGUCUCUGUCAAAUUUGAGGAUGAAUGCCUGAUUGCAGCCUUCAUAAAGUCUCUCACCAAGUGUAUCGAUGAUAUAGUAUGCAUCUCGUUCA
rnacentral:misc_RNA from 1 species